ACCUGAUUAUUGUUUGUUUUUUGAAUUUCUUUGCCGAGGGCUAUGGUCAAGGCCCUCGGCAAAGACCAGAGAAAUUUUAAAUUUUUUUUGUUUGUUUAUUUUCAUCCAGACAAAAGACAGAUACAUAUAUAUACCAUCACACAGAGUCCACAAUGAGCACAUACAUCUCACGAACAUCACAUAUAUAUAUCACGAACAUCAUGUAUGUACAUCUAGUAGUCCACAAGUUCACCAAAUCGAACCAAAGUUCCAAACCGCCGACACGUACGCACCGUAGGGCUGCGAGAACUCACCAUCCUCCCCAACCGUCCUGCCUCUGCGUCGAGGGUGGUGUGUCGAAGGCUCCAGGAUCCGGUGACGUACGAGGCGGGUUAUUGGAUCCCGCUGUCGACUCAGGCUGCACAAACAGUUAGAUGUUUAUGUGAGAUUGCAGUAAUUAUUUCUGCACUACAGUUACAAAGAAGAAGUUAACUUUGACACUUACAGUAGAACUAAACGGCGGCGGCAGCUGAGGCGCUGGAGCUGACAUCGUGACGUCCACACCUGUAUGCUGCCCCAGAGCGGCCAGGACCCUCAUCAUCUCAGCCAUCAUCUGGUCCUGGGCCUCUCGCGCGAGACGCUCAGUCUCCAGCCGAGCAGUGAGGGCCGUGAUCUGCUCCGUCUUCUGGGCGCUGUCGGCCUGCAAGAUUACACUCCAGUGUUUCAGUAAUGCAAAUGUAAUUCAGUUGCGAGAAUAUUAAUUUACUAUGAGUGAACCUAGAAUUACCUGGAGCGAAGCUAACAUGC
rnacentral:lncRNA from 1 species